UUAAAAAAAUCCAGAGAUCUACUGGACGCAAAAGCACGACGGUUCCUCGCCUCCAAAAAAUGGUGUUUAUGGCAUUGCUGGAACUCCUGGGUGAGGCUGUGUGAGGAAAUGUGUGCAGCCUCUUGUUCUUGCAUGCCUGGUGUCCCAGAUAUUCCAUCUGAUCUGUUCCUGGAGCAAGGUGUCUGGACAGUGAUGGAUUGACUGAUGAGGGUCCAGGUUUGUGUUUCUGGAACGAGCCCGGCUAAGAAUUUGCCAAGGGCAUCAACAGCAGUUUUCCCAGGCUCCAGCACAAGGAUUAUGUAGUCAAUCCACAAAUGACUCAAAUCUUUGAAGAAAAGGACAUGGUUAUCAGAGAGGCUUUGACGACAGCAAGGACGGGAGUGCUAUCUGCCUUUUUCCAUCAGAGAUUCCCAUUCCCUCUCAUUAUCAUACUCAGGACAUCAGCACAGCCAUGGGCCCGAGGGAAUCCCAUCCAACUUUGAAGGGAACAUGCACAAGACCUCGCCCCUGCGUUGUUUCAGACAGAUCAAACCAGAUUUGCCUCGUGUAAGGGUUCUUCAGCCCCACUGAGGAUGUGAUGUGAUGUGAAAGCUGCUGUAAGUGGGAAAAGGAGAUGUCUCUACCUGCUCUCUCCCAGUGCCCUGUAAUGAAAAAUGCUUUUGGAGCAACACUGGAAAUAAGCCAUCAAAAUAUCUGAUUAAACCUCUUAGGAAACUCUCACUAAUCACCUUCUCUGCUCUUGAUGGAAUGUAUUUAUGCAUUAUAAAUAUACUUACUAUGUGUGUGUGCUCCAUAAAUCACACCCAGCACUUGUGUGUGAUGUAUAAGCACAUUCUAUAGAACACACACAAAUACAGAUGCCAAGCUCCCACAGAGUUCAUCACUGGAAAAUGUUUGAAGGAUCUGAUCCUUAAUAUUUAAUGAGCAAGAUGCUAUUUCCUUCCUCAGCUUUUAUCUCUGGUUUGGCAUAGUCAUUAAAUUUGUUGUUUCCUUGCAAGAUUAUAUAAUUUAUGACCUAAUUUUAGACUUCUGUGUAACCGCGUUGAAAUCCUCGUGGCGUAUCCAGAUUUCUUCCAGCAUUAGACACCAGCUCCAACACGACUCCUGAGAGCUGCCCAUCAGCAAGGAGUUACAGGCAUGGAAGGAAAACAGGCCAAAAAUAUUCAGGCAGCAUUAGAAGAUUAGUUUUUGGGGGGGUUUUGCCAUGCAAAAAACAUGAUUUAGCAGAAUUUCCAAAGCUGUCUGCGGUGCUGGCAGGAAUCCCCAGGUAAGACAGACAGCACCCAGCGAC